rnacentral:sRNA from 1 species
AAGAGGAGAUAGUAUGCAGCCCUGCCUAA